GAUGAAGACUAAACUGUAGAUUUGUACCUAAAAUAAAAGAAACUAAAGUAAGAAGUGAUUUUAAACUAUUAGAAAAAGUUAUACACCUAUAUAGUAUAAAUGCAAUUUCUCAUGGAAUUAUCCUCCUGGAACAGAGCACACUCUGAAAAACCCUGUCCCAGCCAACGGAAAAGAACAGAAAUCAACAACGCAGCAUAGUUAAAAGGAGGCUUUUUCUCUUUAAAUUGGAAGGAGUUGAGCAUAAUUUCACAGCCUCAGAGGGAGCUGCUAAGAGAGCCACAAACACAGAGCUCAGUGCCUGCGCCUACUUGCCUCAUUCCAUGCUACUCUCCUAGGGAAGCCGAGAUCCUUUGGUUGCCCUGUUCUCCCUGAAGAAUGGCUGUGAAAGAUGAGUGUCAAAUUACAGUCAUUUAAGUUUAACCAUUUUCUGUUAGCAGAGAAUAAUUCACAUUCAUCUAUGGAGUGGAGUGAGGUUAACGAUUCAGUUACAUUUUGAUUAUGAAGGAAUCUCACUCAGCUGAAAUCUGCGAUAAAACCGAGUCCAUAUGUAUUGUUUCUGCAGUGUUGUGAGUGCUCCUGGUUCCUAAGGAAUGCAUUGUUUAAGCCAGCCCUUUGCUCACCAUGUAAAUGAUUCCACUUCAGUGGUUCAAGGAAAAUGAGCACAGGAUGCAAAUUCCUUAAUGCAGAUUUAGUAAAGUAGAAUCUCCCCUCUGUGGUCUUGACUGUGACGAGUUUCCUUUGUACGUGUCGGAAUUAUUUGUCAAGACCUUUUGUUGAUCACGAAAUGCCCUUGCCUGUCCAAAAAGCCUAACAAAAAAGACUCAAAUCCAUAGUGAGCAGUUCUCUUUCUGACAGUAUUGGUUUUUAUUAGAUACAUGGCUGCAAUCUUCAGCUGCAAUUAAAAAAAAAAAAAAAAAGACAACUUUGGACGUGUGGCAAAGUUUGGAAAGUGUGAGGGGCCAGAGAAAAUCAUUGGAACAUGUCACUUGCUUCACAACUUUCGGUUCUCACCUUCAGUUUACAGGGCUCCAUGUCCUCAGAGGGAAGUAUUCUAUGUGGACUCAUUUCAAAGAGUUUUCUCUGAAAAUGAAUAUGCCAGCUCCCCAUGGGGUCAUGAAGAGAGACUGAAUAGGCCGUGCCUUCACCUGCGUAGUUGCUGAAAACAACAACAAAACCUUUCUGAUGUAAACAGCAGCAAUUAGUACAAUAACUGCCCCGAAGAUGCCACCAUUCUCUAAAUCGGAUAUUCUGAAAGCUCAAGAACAAUUUUGUAACAUAAAUAACCUGUUCAUCCAGAGAGCAACUACAGAUACAUUUUUUCCAAGGAAAAAAUCUGUGAGUGAGGGAGACAGAACGUGCCCAGAGUAUAUUCCUCUGCUUUUUCCUCCUGGAAAAUAGAGAAGCCCUUUGGUGGAACUACAAACACAAACCCAGAGAAAAACAGUAACUAUUAUGCUAUUAUUCCCUUGGGGCAACAUAUCCAGAUAUUAGUUGAGAUUUCUGAAUCUUUAUUCAAAUUAAUUCUCAGUGUUGGACUUUCUAGUGUUGUGAGAAAUUAAUGGGGAAGAUGAUUUGUGGGAAGGAACAGAGGAUAAAACUUAAAAGAGUCAAGGUUUUGCCAUCAGAGCGAUUUGAGGCUGUAAUCCCACAAAGACAAAUGACAAUCUUGAGCUAAUUCUUUCUAUUCUAUGAGAAUUAUGUUCCUUGUCUAUGAAAUGAGGAUUGACAAAAUUUUCUCCAAGGUCUAUUUAAAUUUGAAUAUGGCGUCUAAGGACUCUUUCUUUAGAAAAGCGUAAAAGAGCACUGUAAUCACACAUAAUGACAUUUCCUUUUCUACUUUUGGUGUGAGAUUGAGGCAGCAUUUUGGUUAAGAGAUCAGAUCCGAGUCAGGAAUAUCUGUUUUUGAAUAUUGAUACUUCCACCUACCAGCCACAUGAUCCUGGGAAAGCUGGCUAACAGAUCUUAGUCUCAGUUUCCCCACUUGAAAAAUGGAGAGAAAAAUAAUUUAUCAUAGGAGUGGGGGGGUUGUGAGGAUUCAAUGUGUUAAUACAGGUGAUGACCUGAAAAGUACCACGAACAUGUAAAUGUUCAUACAGAACAUUCCGUAAAUUUUUUAAAAAUUACAUUUUACUCUUAGAAGUGCAUUUACUUUUAAGGAGACAACAGAUAUCGGCCUAGCCAUUUUUACCUUCAGUUCCCUGCAUAGAUCCACAAGAAUUUAUUUUAUUCCAUGAACUUUUUUCUCACUGAGAUUGCUUGAGAUCUUUGGUUUUGUCACCUUCACAUUGAAAUAACAACGGAGGAUACUAUUGAUUUCACUCAUUUUGGUGAAGCCCGAGAGAUCUUUGCUUUUAUCAGGCAUCCAUUUUAAAAAUAACUAUUAUUCAGCAUGCUUUUUAAUCUUUUCAGUUUUCCAAGAUUCUUCAUAUGUUGCCUGUCUUUUUUUUUAAUUGAGAAGACGCACCAAGGAAAGUAGUACAAAAGUGUUGGUGAUAAGGUGAGGGAAAAGAAUGACAAAUAAGUGAGGAAGAUGUCUGUCUAGUGUAUCUCUGAGUAAGAAGGAGAAAAUUGGAAGAACUAUAGACAGAAAGAAGGAAACAGAUUGAGAAACUAAUUUAAGCAGAAUCAACUAAAGGGAAGUAAAAGAUUUGAAAAAAUAAGAGUGGGCACCAAAUAGAGAAAAUCUGGUGUAAAGAAAGAUAAGAAAAAAUUUAUAGCAAUUCAUAUAUGUGACAAAUUCAAACCACACUUGGAUAAAAAUGCCAAAAGAAACACCAAAGAUGGAUCUAAUGAAAGGUUUUCAUCGUCUACAUAAAAUGGAGAUUCUUUCCCCUAACUUUUAUUUAUUUAUUGUUUUUGGCUGAAGUACAUUUACUCUCAAAUUUCUACAACUUAUUGCCCUCUUGUACCAUUUUCUCAUUUCUUUUACAAUUACUAUUAAGGCUAAAUAAGUCAUUGGAAUAUAAAUACACAUUUUGUUCUCAAGUACUUUUCCCUGCUCUAUCCCAGGAAGGUAGUUAGACCAUCAUUCAAAUCAUUUACAGAAAUUAUCAACAGUGUACACUAAGAAAAUGAGCUUAGGCUUCUGUGUUUAUCAGUAUGACAUUACAGAUACUCCAGAUAUCAUAUCUAUUAAAAAUAAAUAAAAUUUAUGAAAAAUAAAUAUUAAUCAAUGUAAAUUCCUCCCUGAUCUGGUAAGAAACUAAGAAAUAGGGUCUUUCAUCAUCUAUAAAGCUGGGGAGAGCCUGGUGGGCUGAGGACAUCAGAAUGAAGAGGAAUUUUUCACUCAAAUGGCUAACCUUAUAAUCAGCUCUUUGUUCUGCUUCUGUAGAUAUGCUUGUCGCAUAGGUGGAAGGGCAGGGUGAUCUCGAAAUUAACUAAAGACUCAUCCUCCCUUUUGCUUGUUUUGUCUAGAUAACAGAUGUAUUGUCUGAGUUCCUGUCUGAAAAUCUCAGGCUUUGUAACUCUUUGUAACUGCCUGUAACCUAUAGCAACUCUCACGCUUUGUAACUCUUUGUAACUGUCUGAGGACAAAUUAACCAAUCGACCCAUGCCAACUGGCUAAAUGUAACUGCACGGAUAAGCCCUAUAAAAGCAAAGUUGCAUCUGAGCUUGGGGUCUGGAUCUUCAGAGUGCUAGCUGUUCUAGGACACCUGGUGUAAUAAACUUGAGUUCUCCAACUCUCUGAGUGGUGCUUGGCUUCUUGCCAGUAUGAUUUUACAACAUUUAUGCAACAUUUCUGGAAGCCCUAGUGAGAUUUCAACCACACCGGCCCUUUGAACCACCAGACUGGUGGCUUGGCCAGGCCGGGGAGAAGGGGCUCCAAGUCCAAAGAGGAGGCACGUCACCUGAUGGUAUUCCAGAUUCUCUUUCAGACCCGCACUCUGACUCUUCGAUGGCUGAGACCCGACUGGACUCAAAGGAGGGAUGGACCAACUCACCAGGAAUGGACACAGGAUAAAGCAACUGCUGACUCCCGGUGACCCUGAGCUUCCACUUUGGUUCUAUCAUAGGAACAGUGGGCCAAAGACUAAUCCUAGUUCCUACAAGACAGGAAUUGAAGAGAAGACACUACAUGAAGCCGGGCUCCAGAGGGCUGUGUCUUCAGUGCAAGGGUGAGCUGGACAUAAAGGCACAUUACAGAGAUCUGCCUAUCUUGAUGUACAGAAAGAACAACAAAGAAAUCCAUCUUGAUGAUGUGAACAAAAGAACUGACACUCGGAAAGGUUUAUAGCACAAGUGCUAAAGGCGAUAUCACUAAUGACCUGUUAUUAUUAGCUGUUACUUAUUAAAAAUCCAUUAUCUUGCCAAAAUAAAGGGACCUAUGUCAAGACUGCAGAGAA